UACGAAGGGGGCUAGCGUUGCUCGGAAUCACUGGGCGUAAAGCGCACGUAGGCGGAUCUUUAAGUCAGGGGUGAAAUCCCAAGGCUCAACCUUGGAACUGCCUUUGAUACUGGGGACUCUCGAGUCCGGAAGAGGUUGUGGAACUGCGAGUGUAGAGGUGAAAUUCGUAGAUAUUCGCAAGAACACCAGAGGCGAAGGCGGUUACCUGGACAGUUACUGACGCUCAGGCACGAAAGCAUGGGGAGCAAAAGGG
rnacentral:rRNA from 1 species